rnacentral:rRNA from 1 species
AUUGUAGUCUGCAACCCGACUACAUGAAGCUGGAAUCGCUAGUAAUCGCGGAUCAGAAUGCCGCGGUGAAUACGUUCCCGGGUCUUGUACACACCGCCCGUCACACCAUGGGAGUCGAUAACGCCCGAAGUCAGUGACCCAACCUGUAAGGAGGGAGCUGCCGAAGGCGGGAUUGAUAACUGGGGUGAAGUCGUAACAAGGUAUC